AUGGAAAAUGUGGGCAAUCCUGGGUCUGUGCUCAAGACGGUGAGGAAGGACUUGUUCUUGGCCAGCCCUUUUCUGCUGUGUUCCUAUGCUGAGCAGUUCUUCGGACCAGGGACACAACUCACAGUCCUAGAUGAUCUGAGCAAGGUGAGCCCACCCAAGGUCACCUUGUUUGAACCAUCAAAAGCAGAGAUCGCCGAAAAGAAAAAGGCUACCCUGGUGUGCUUGGCCAGGGGCUUCUACCCUGACCACGUGGAGCUGAGCUGGUGGGUGAAUGGGAAGAAGGUCGACAGUGGGGUCAGCACAGACCCUCAGCCCUACCUGGAGGACAGUGACCUCAGCUACUGCCUGAGCAGCCGCCUGAGGGUCUCUGCAACCUUCUGGCACAAUCCUCGCAACCACUUCCGCUGCCAAGUGCAGUUCUAUGGGCUUACAGAGGAAGACCAGUGGGACAAGAGCUCUCCCAAACCUGUCACACAGAACAUCAGUGCAGAGGUCUGGGGCCAAGCAGACUGUGGAAUCACCUCAGCAUCCUAUCAUCAGGGGGUCGUCUCUGCCACUAUCCUUUAUGAGAUCCUCCUGGGCAAAGCCACCCUGUAUGCUCUGCUGGUCAUUGCCCUGGUGCUCAUGCCCAUGAUCAAGAAAAAAAAAUCCUGAGACCAACUCUUGUGUAUCCUGAGUUGUUGUUCAUCCUGACCAUAGAUUCUCCAGCAUCUUCCGUAAUCCUUGUUCCUAAGGAGUUGUUGCAUCUUCCUCCACGGAUAUUCCCUCCUUCCUCAUUGCUUCCCAAAGACUGACCUCUUGACUCUGAAACAGACUAAAUUAAUAAAAA